GGACAGAACUUGGGAUUUACUAAUUACAGUGUGGUCAGUGCUGCCUGGCUACUCAGGAAAAUCCUCUUGGAACAUCACUACUUACAAGGUUAUUUCUUUUUAUGUUUUCAAUGGCAGGUGUCAGAUGUGACAUCAUGAUGACCCAGUCUCCAUCCUCUUUGCCUGUGUCUCAUGGAGACAGAGUCACCCUCACCUGCAGGGCCAGUAAGGGCAUUAGCAAUUAUUUACACUGAUACCAGCAGAAACCAGGGCAAGCUCCUAAGCUCCUCAUCAGAUAUGCUAACACUUUGAAAUCUGGGGUCCCCUUGAGGUUCAGUGGCAGUGGAUCUGGUACAGAUUUCACUCUCACCAUCAGCAGCCUGGAGCCUGAAGAUGUUGCCAAUUAUUACUGUCAACAAGGUAGCAGUUCCCCUCUUACAGUGACACAGGCCAUGACAAAACCCUCCCAGGGAGCAGAAGUGUGAGGCUGGGCUGCCCCAGCUGCUCCUCCUGCUGCCUCUACCUAUUGAGGGCACUCCUCAGAGGCAGUCAGGCCCUGAGCACUACAAGAAGGGUCAGUCAGAGGAACGGGAGCUCUUCUGCACCCUGACCUUUCAGAUCAGCCCCAGCAGGCUAUGAGCUCAGUGUAUGAUAAAGAAAGUAAUUUAAGACCUGAAGAGACUGAAUUAGGCAGUAUCAGGGGUUGUGCAGCAAAGACAAGCCUCUCCAUGUGUUCCACAUGGGAAUAUUUUAAGACUUUAUUUUUAGUAUACUUUAAGUCCCCAGCAAAAUUGGGGUGAAGUACAUGGUUCUCAUGUGUCCCCUGUGCUUCCAGAGCCUCUCCAUCACCACGCCCAGACUCUGUUGCUCCUGUUACAAUUCAUCAACCUCUGCUCAAGUCUACAGGUCACACCAGGGUCAUUUUGAGCAUUUUGUGGAACUAGACAAGUGGACAGUGACAUGUGUCCAGCAGUGUGACCUGGCACAGUGCAGGUACCACCCUCACACUGUCUGAGCUCCAGCUGCUCCUAACCCCCUUCUCUGCUGUGGACCUUCAUGGUUUUCCAUCCUGUAGUUUCACCUGGGCUGACAUUUGCCUGGCACUCACAGCAUGAAGAUAUUCAGACUGG
rnacentral:lncRNA from 1 species